AUUGAACGCUGGCGGCAGGCCUAACACAUGCAAGUCGAGCGAGCGGCGGACGGGUGAGUAAUGUAUGGGGACUGCCCGAUAGAGGGGGAUACCUACUGGAAACGGUGGCUAAUACCGCAUACUAACGGAUAACCCAUAUGGGAUUAGCUAGUAGGUGGGGUAAAGGCUCACCUAGGCGACGAUCUCUAGCUGGUCUGAGAGGAAGAUCAACAACACUGGGACUGGGGAACGGCCCAGACUCCCACGGAGGCAGCAGUUGGGAAUAUUGAGCAAUGGGCGCAAACCUGAUGCAGGCAUGCCGCGUGUAUGAAGAAGGCCUUAGGGUUUUAAAGUACUUUCAGCGGGGAGGCGUUACCCGCAGAAGAAGCACCGGCUAACUCCGUGCCAGCAGCCGCGGUAAUUC
rnacentral:rRNA from 1 species